rnacentral:lncRNA from 1 species
CCUAAACAGUGUCCUGACUGCUUGACUGUUUUAUGUGUAAGCAAUUCGUCUGGGAGCCUUUCCGUUGUGAGAACGAAGGCUGAUUCAACGUGCAGGAGAGGGCUGGAUAACAGGAUCCUUCCCUACUAGCUGGGAUGGCCCUUGACACAGUUUUUAGGAAAGAGAGGUUAGCAAGACACACUUCUCAGCUGUUUUUGGAGUCCUAACCCUUGACACUAUUCCUACUGUUGCUGCUCUUCUAGCAUGUUGCAUGUAAGUAUAUAUGUACCAGGUCUAUCAAGGCUGGUUUGUCUUUGUGGGGGUCUA